rnacentral:lncRNA from 1 species
UGGAAACUAAAUUUCAUAAUUUUUCAGUAUCAUUUACCUAUCACACGAGUAGUCUAAAAAUAAACGGCUGAAAAUAAAAAUCUCAUAAAAAAUAAUGAUAAAAGACUUGAAUUUAAGAUCAGAGGUACUGAUCUUACUCUAAAUAGUGAAAAGAAUUUUCUAUAAAAAUUUCAUCAGAUUUGGAUUGGUUUACACCAUUAAAUUCACAAA